rnacentral:rRNA from 1 species
AUUGAACGCUGGCGGCAGGCCUAACACAUGCAAGUCGAACGAGUGGCGGACGGGUGAGUAAUGUCUGGGAAACUGCCCGAUGGAGGGGGCUAACUACUGGAAACGGUAGCUAAUACCGCAUACCAUCGGAUGUGCCCAGAUGGGAUCAGCUAGUAGGUGGGGUAACGUCUCACCUAGGCGACGAUCCCUAGCUGGUCUGAGAGGAUGACCAGCCACACUGCAACUGAGACACGUUCCAGACUCCUACGGGAGGCAGCAGUGGGUAAUAUUGCACAAUGGGCGCAAGCCUGAUGCAGCCAUGCCGCUUGUAUGAAGAAGGCCUUCGGGUUGUAAAGUACUUUCAGCGAGGAGGCGUUACUCGCAGAAGAAGCACCGGCUAAUUCCGUGCCAGCAGCCGCGGUAAUUC